rnacentral:rRNA from 1 species
ACGUAGGCAGCGAGCGUUGUUCGGAGUUACUGGGCGUAAAGGGUGCGUAGGCGGUUCGUUAAGUCUGUCGUGAAAUCCCCGGGCUCAACCUGGGAAUGGCGAUGGAUACUGGCGAGCUAGAGUGUGUCAGAGGAUGGUGGAAUUCCCGGUGUAGCGGUGAAAUUCGUAGAUAUCAGGUGGAACACCAGUGGCGAAGGCGGCUUUCUGGACGAUUACUGACGCUGAGACGCGAAAGCGUGGGGAGCAAACAGGA